GACGUAGGGCGCGAGCGUUGUCCGGAAUUAUUGGGCGUAAAGGGCUCGUAGGCGGUUUGUCACGUCGGGAGUGAAAACUCGGGGCUUAACUCCGAGCCUGCUUCCGAUACGGGCUGACUAGAGGUAUGCAGGGGAGAACGGAAUUCCUGGUGUAGCGGUGAAAUGCGCAGAUAUCAGGAGGAACACCGGUGGCGAAGGCGGUUCUCUGGGCAUUACCUGACGCUGAGGAGCGAAAGUGUGGGGAGCGAACAGG
rnacentral:rRNA from 1 species